AUAAGGGCGCACGGUGGAUGCCUUGGCACUAGGAGCCGAUGAAGGACGGGACUAACACCGAUAUGCUUUGGGGAGCUGUACGUAAGCUAUGAUCCAGAGAUUUCCGAAUGGGGGAACCCAACAUCUUUAAUAGGAUGUUACGAUUGUGUGAAUACAUAGCACAUUCGAGGUAGACGCAGAGAACUGAAACAUCUAAGUACCUGCAGGAAGAGAAAGAAAAUUCGAUUCCCUGAGUAGCGGCGAGCGAAACGGGAAAAGCCCAAACCAGCAAGCUUGCUUGUUGGGGUUGUAGGACUCCAAUAUGGUAGUUCUUUCAGAUAGUCGAAUGACUUGGAAAAGUCAGUCAAAGAGGGUAAAAACCCCGUAGACGAAAUGUGGAAGACACCUAGGAGGAUCCUGAGUACGGCGGAACACGAGAAAUUCCGUCGGAAUCCGGGAGGACCAUCUCCCAAGGCUAAAUACUCCCUAGUGACCGAUAGUGAACCAGUACCGUGAGGGAAAGGUGAAAAGCACCCCGGAAGGGGAGUGAAAUAGAACCUGAAACCGUGUGCCUACAACAAGUCAAAGCCCGUUAAUGGGUGAUGGCGUGCCUUUUGUAGAAUGAACCGGCGAGUUACGAUUGCAUGCGAGGUUAAGUUGAAGAGACGGAGCCGCAGCGAAAGCGAGUCUGAAUAGGGCGUUUGAGUAUGUAGUCGUAGACCCGAAACCAUGUGAUCUACCCAUGUCCAGGUUGAAGGUGCGGUAAAACGCACUGGAGGACCGAACCCACGUACGUUGAAAAGUGCGGGGAUGAGGUGUGGGUAGCGGAGAAAUUCCAAACGAACUUGGAGAUAGCUGGUUCUCUCCGAAAUAGCUUUAGGGCUAGCCUCGGAAUUGAGAAUGAUGGAGGUAGAGCACUGUUUGGACUAGGGGCCCAUCUCGGGUUACCGAAUUCAGAUAAACUCCGAAUGCCAUUCAUUCAUAUCCGGGAGUCAGACUGUGAGUGAUAAGAUCCAUAGUCGAAAGGGAAACAGCCCAGACCACCAGCUAAGGUCCCAAAAUAUAUGUUAAGUGGAAAAGGAUGUGGGGUUGCACAGACAACUAGGAUGUUGGCUUAGAAGCAGCCACCAUUUAAAGAGUGCGUAAUAGCUCACUAGUCGAGUGACCCUGCGCCGAAAAUGUACCGGGGCUAAACAUAUUACCGAAGCUGUGGAGUACACCUUUAGGUGUAUUGGUAGGAGAGCGUUCUAAGGGCGUUGAAGGCAGAUCGUGAGGACUGCUGGAGCGCUUAGAAGUGAGAAUGCCGGUAUGAGUAGCGAAAGACAGGUGAGAAUCCUGUCCACCGAAUGACUAAGGUUUCCUGGGGAAGGCUCGUCCGCCCAGGGUUAGUCGGGACCUAAGCCGAGGCCGACAGGCGUAGGCGAUGGAUAACAGGUUGAUAUUCCUGUACCCGUUGUUUUUGUUUGAGCAAUGGAGGGACGCAGGAGGCUAAGGAAUGCAGACGAUCGGAAAUGUCUGUCCAAGCAGUAAGUCUGAAGAGGAGUCAAAUGCUUCUUUUCUUAAGGACAAGCUGUGAUGGGGAGGGAAAUAAUAGUACCGAAGUUCCUGAUGUCACACUGCCGAGAAAAGCUUCUAGUGAGAAAACAGCGGCCCGUACCGCAAACCGACACAGGUAGUCGAGGAGAGAAUCCUAAGGUGAGCGAGAGAACUCUCGUUAAGGAACUCGGCAAAAUGACCCCGUAACUUCGGGAGAAGGGGUGCUGAUCAUACGAUCAGCCGCAGUGAAUAGGCCCAAGCGACUGUUUAUCAAAAACACAGGUCUCUGCAAAAUCGUAAGAUGAAGUAUAGGGGCUGACGCCUGCCCGGUGCUGGAAGGUUA
rnacentral:rRNA from 1 species